UUGAACGCUAGCGGGAUGCCUUACACAUGCAAGUCGAACGGUAGAGGGGGCAACCCCUCGAGAGUGGCGAACGGGUGAGUAAUAUAUCGGAACGUGCCCAGUCGUGGGGGAUAACGUAGCGAAAGUUACGCUAAUACCGCAUACGAUCUACGGAUGAAAGCGGGGGACUCGCAAGAGCCUCGCGCGAUUGGAGCGGCCGAUAUCAGAUUAGGUAGUUGGUGGGGUAAAGGCUCACCAAGCCAACGAUCUGUAGCUGGUCUGAGAGGACGACCAGCCACACUGGAACUGAGACACGGUCCAGACUCCUACGGGAGGCAGCAGUGGGGAAUUUUGGACAAUGGACGCAAGUCUGAUCCAGCCAUGCCGCGUGAGUGAAGAAGGCCUUCGGGUUGUAAAGCUCUUUCGGCUGGGAAGAAAUCGCACAGGCUAAUACUCUGUGUGGAUGACGGUACCAGCAUAAGAAGCACCGGCUAACUACGUG
rnacentral:rRNA from 1 species